GGGGAAAGCCAGCAAUGCGGGUUUCAGAUGCGGCCCAAAUGGGAAUUAGCUUAGUAGGGGGAGGGUAAAGGCUCACUAGGGCGACGAUCUCUAGCGGGUCUGAGAGGAUGAUCAGCCACAUUGGGACUGAGACACGGCCCAGACUCUUACGGGAGGCAGCAGUAGGGAAUAUUGCACAAUGGGGAAACCCUGAUGCAGCCAUGCCGCGUGUGUGAAGAAGGCCUUCGGGUUGUAAAGCACUUUCGGAGGGGAGGAACAAAUGACGUUACCCUCAGAAGAAGCACCGGCUAACUCCGUGCCAGCAGCCGCGGUAAUACGGAGGGUGCAAGCGUUAAUCGGAAUAACUGGGCGUAAAGGGCAUGCAGGCGGUUAAACAAGUAGGAUGUGAAAUCCCCGGGCUCAACCUGGGAACUGCAUUCUAAACUGUUUAACUAGAGUAUUGCAGGGGGAGACGGAAUUCCAGGUGUAGCGGUGGAAUGCGUAGAUAUCUGGAAGAACACCAAAGGCGAAGGCAGUCUCCUGGGCAAAUACUGACGCUCAGAUGCGAAAGCGUGGGUAGCAAACAGGAUUAGAUACCCUGGUAGUCCACGUCGUAAACGAUGUCAAUUAGGAGCUUGUGCUUAAGUAUGGGUCCGCAGCUAACGCAAUAAAU
rnacentral:rRNA from 1 species